UACGAAGGGGGCAAGCGUUGUUCGGAAUUACUGGGCGUAAAGGGCGCGUAGGCGGCUUAUCAAGUCAUGUGUGAAAUCCCUCGGCUCAACCGGGGAACGACGCAUGAAACUGGCAAGCUAGAGUACCAAAGAGGGGGGUGGAAUUCCCGGUGUAGCGGUGAAAUGCGUAGAGAUCAAGAGGAACACUCGUGGCGAAAGCGAGCUACUGGACAAUUCCUGACGCUGAGGCUCGAAGGCUAGGGUAGCGAAAGGG
rnacentral:rRNA from 1 species